rnacentral:rRNA from 1 species
UUUAGCGAUAACGAACGAGACCUUAACCUAGCUAAAUAAGCCCGGCCUAGCUUUGGCUGGUCGCCGGCUUCUUAGAGGGACUAUCGGCUCAAGCCGAUGGAAGUUUGUGGCAAUAACAGGUCUGUGAUGCCCUUAGAUGUUCUGGGCCGCACGCGCGCUACACUGACAGAGCCAGCGAGUCCACUACCUUGGCCGAAAGGCCCGGGUAAUCUUGUUAAACUCUGUCGUGCUGGGGAUAGAGCAUUGCAAUG